AAGCUCUGGGUUUAAUUUGAUGGUAGGGUCCAUCACAAACGUCGAAUUCUUCGAACGAAAAUAAAUGCAUCUGAGCUU